AGAGUUUGAUCCUGGCUCAGGAUGAACGCUAGCGACAGGCCUAACACAUGCAAGUCGAGGGGUAACAGAUGAAGAGCUUGCUCUGAUUGCUGACGACCGGCGCACGGGUGAGUAACAAGUAUGCAACCUACCUUUUACAGAGGGAUAGCCCAGAGAAAUUUGGAUUAAUACCUCAUAAUAUUUUUAACUCGCAUGAGUUUUAAAUUAAAACUUCGGUGGUAAAAGAUGGGCAUGCUUUCUAUUAGUUUGUUGGUGAGGUAACGGCUCACCAAGACUAUGAUAGAUAGGGGGUCUGAGAGGAUAGUCCCCCACACUGGUACUGAGACACGGACCAGACUCCUACGGGAGGCAGCAGUGAGGAAUAUUGGUCAAUGGUCGAAAGACUGAACCAGCCAUGUCGCGUGAAGGAUGACGGCCCUAUGGGUUGUAAACUUCUUUUGUAUGGGAAGAAAAGCAGUUACGUGUAACUGUCUGCCGGUACCAUACGAAUAAGGAUCGGCUAACUCCGUGCCAGCAGCCGCGGUAAUACGGAGGAUCCAAGCGUUAUCCGGAUUUAUUGGGUUUAAAGGGUGCGUAGGCGGCUCUAUAAGUCAGUAGUGAAAUCUCGAAGCUCAACUUCGAACGUGCU
rnacentral:rRNA from 1 species